UCCGGUUUGACACCGGCAGUCUCCCUAGAGUGCCCGGCAUAACCCGCUGGUAACUAGGGACGAGGGUUGCGCUCGUUGCGGGACUUAACCCAACAUCUCACGACACGAGCUGACGGCAGCCAUGCAGCACCUGAACCACCAGUCCCUUGCGGGAAGACCCCAUUUCUGGGGCUGUCCGAUGUUGUCUAGCCCAGGUAAGGUUCUUCGCGUUGCGUCGAAUUGAACCACAUGCUCCACCGCUUGUGCGGGCCCCCGUCAAUUCCUUUGAGUUUCAGUCUUGCGACCGUACUCCCCAGGCGGAUUGCUUAUCGCGUUAGCUGCGGCACGAUCGGAUUGGGUACCGAUCACACCAAGCAAUCAUCGUUUAGGGCUAGGACUAC
rnacentral:misc_RNA from 1 species